rnacentral:rRNA from 1 species
GAUGAACGCUGGCGGCGUGCCUAAUACAUGCAAGUCGAGCGAACAGACGAGGAGCUUGCUUCUCUGACGUUAGCGGCGGACGGGUGAGUAACACGUGGAUAACCUACCUAUAAGACUGGGAUAACUUCGGGAAACCGGAGCUAAUACCGGAUAAUAUGUUGAACCGCAUGGUUCAACAGUGAAAGACGGUCUUGCUGUCACUUAUAGAUGGAUCCGCGCUGCAUUAGCUAGUUGGUAAGGUAACGGCUUACCAAGGCAACGAUGCGUAGCCGACCUGAGAGGGUGAUCGGCCACACUGGAACUGAGACACGGUCCAGACUCCUACGGGAGGCAGCAGUAGGGAAUCUUCCGCAAUGGGCGAAAUCCUGACGGAGCAACGCCGCGUGAGUGAAGAAGGUCUUCGGAUCGUAAAACUCUGUUAUUAGGGAAGAACAAAUGUGUAAGUAACUAUGCACGUCUUGACGGUACCUAAUCAGAAAGCCACGGCUAACUACGUG